GAUGAACGCUAGCGGCAGGCCUAAUACAUGCAAGUCGAACGGAUAUAUGUUUUUCGGAAUAUAUAUUAGUGGCGCACGGGUGAGUAACACGUACAUAACUUGCCCUCAAGCGGGGGAUAGCCUUGGGAAACUGAGAGUAAUACCCCAUAGAAUUAUUGGACGGCAUCGUUUGAUAAUUAAAACUACGGUGCUUGGGGAUAGAUGUGCGUCUGAUUAGCUAGUUGGUGAGGUAACUGCUCACCAAGGCGACGAUCAGUAGGGGGCGUGAGAGCGUGGCCCCCCACACGGGUACUGAGACACGGACCCGACUCCUACGGGAGGCAGCAGUGGGGGAAUUUUUGGACAAUGGGGGAAACCCGUAGAUCUAGCCAUGCCGCGUGAGCGAUGAAGGCC
rnacentral:rRNA from 1 species